UUUGAAGGGAAGGAAUGAAAC
rnacentral:miRNA from 1 species